GUCUCAGUUCGGAUCGCAGGCUGCAACCCGCCUGCGUGAAGUCGGAAUCGCUAGUAAUCGCGGAUCAGCAUGCCGCGGUGAAUACGUUCCCGGGCCUUGUACACACCGCCCGUCACACCAUGAGAGUCGGGAACACCCGAAGUCCGUAGCCUAACUAGCAAUAGAGGGCGCGGCCGAAGGUGGGUUCGAUAAUUGGGGUGAAGUCGUAACAAGGUACC
rnacentral:rRNA from 1 species